CCUACGGGAGGCAGCAGUGAGGAAUAUUGGUCAAUGGACGAGAGUCUGAACCAGCCUAGUAGCGUGAAGGAUGACUGCCCUAUGGGUUGUAAACUUCUUUUAUAUGGGAAUAAAAUGUUACACGGGUGGGAUUUUGUAUGUAACAUAUGAAUAAGGAUUGGCUAACUCCGUGCCAGCAUGCGCGGUAAUACGGAGGAUCCGAGCGUUAUCGGGAUUUAGUGGGGGUAAAGGGAGCGUAGGUGGAUUGAUAAGUCAGUUGUGAAAGUUUGCGGCGCAACCGUAAAACUGCAGUUGAAACUGGCAGUCUUGAGUACAGUAGAGGUGGGCGGAAUUCGUGGUGUAGCGGUGAAAUGCUUAGAUAUCACGAAGAACUCCGAUUGCGAAGGCAGCUCACUGGACUGCAACUGACACUGAGGCUCGAAAGUGUGGGUAUCAAACAGGAUUAGAUACCCUAGUAGUC
rnacentral:rRNA from 1 species